rnacentral:tRNA from 1 species
GGGCCCAUAGCUCAGUCAGGUAGAGCGGCCGGCUCUUAACCGGCAGGUCGAGGGUUCAAAUCCCUCUGGGCCCG